CGCGAUUACUACGGAUUCCAGCUUCAUGAGGGCGAGUUGCAGCCCUCAAUCCGAACUAAGAUUGGCUUUAGGAGAUUUCCAUCCCCUUUCGGGGUAGAUACCCAUUGUACCAACCAUUGUAGCUCGCGUGUAGCCCGGGAUAUCGGGGCAUACUGACCUACCGUUGCCCAUUCCUUCCUCCGCUUUANCAGCGGCGGUCCCCACAGUGUACCCGUCACUCCGGAGAGUACGCUGGCAACUGUGGGCGUGGGUCUCGCUCGUCCUGACUUAACAGGAUGCUUCACAGUACGAACUGACGACGGCCAUGCACCACCUCUCAGCUAAUCCAGCAAAG
rnacentral:rRNA from 1 species